ACUGAUCCUGCUGGUUUGAUCCAUUAGUCAUGAUGGGAGAAUGGAGUCCUGAGAACGGCUGAAACAUCGCUGCUUUCCCUGUUCUGGAUGCUGAAAACACAACAUCAGAAAUUGGCGAACUGGCCUGUUAAUCUUCCGUGCUGGUUCUGUUCUAAAUCACAGCUGGUCCUGAUGAGAGGACUUUGUUCAUGACUGCAGCAUGACCGUUGCCGAUGGCGACAGAUGCCGCUCAGCCUCUGACAUAAUGGGCUCAUGGAAACAUGUCUUAGCUAGACAGGAAGUGGUUUGGGCCAUCUUUUCUGAGCGAUGAAGAGCAAAUGAACCUGACGAUGGUUCAGGGCCCAGUGGAGGGAGAAUGGGAGAGAUUAGGCCAGAAGCCGGAGCUACGGAAGAAGCGAGCGGUCAAACCAGACCCAGGCCACAUCCCGUCUACCCCGAUGUCUACGCAUUUCAGUGGCGUUCUUUUUGUACUACAUGUUGCGAGCAAUAUUUUUCUCUCUUUUUGUUUUACUUCAUCAUAAUGCAGUCAUUUCAAAUGUCCAAUAUCUUACGAGUAUGUGGCGUUAGGAUCUUAUUCCCUAGGACAAGUCGUCGAUACUACGAUGGUCUCGCACACUCAGAGGAACCCUGCUGAGAGCCAGACAGCACUGUGAAAGAAAAGAGCGGCAUUAUAAAAUGAACAGAAGGUUGAGAGGAACAUAAUUGGCAAGUCUUCCCGCACCUCUCUACUUCCAUGCACGGUGCAAGCGAUGUUAAAUUCUCUCUCUCUCCCUCCUCAUUAUUUCUCAUUUCCUGUCAGCAUCGCAGAACAGUGCUGCCGUUGAACGUCCAAUCCCAGACACCAGUCAGAUUUGGAGACGGUCCGAAAUGCUGCUAAAAUAAAUGUUCCCGUCCAUCGGUCAGCAUUCCAGAGACCGAGCUGGUUUUAGCUUCCUUUAUUCGAGACAAUCGUCUCUGCGCUUCCCUUGGGUCCGGGUCCACACUGGGCCACUAUUUCUCGUCAUUAUGGGCUGAGUAAGUAUCUCUCCCAAACAACAGGGCCAUUUUACAGAGUUAAUACCAUAAUGAAGCCAAAUAAUGACACUAAACCAGGGCUUUUGUCGCGGGCUGCAGUAACGGCACUGUUUGACACAUUCAGAGGUGAAAAAUCCCAAGCCAUUUUCCAAUUUACACAGCAGUAAAAGCCUACAUUCAGAGAGGGAUGCAAGGGGCAUGCUGGCAAACGGGUUUUGUGCCGCGCCGCAACCUGCUGCAUUUGACAAUCUUGUCAUGUCUUUGACAUUUUCAUUAAAAACUUUCUUGAGCGAGCAAGCAUCGUUAUAGCCUAAUCGUUUAUCUUUGUUGCUACUUUAGCUCAUUUUUGUUCGUGUUGCCCAAACUGUGCCGUUUCUAGGGAUGUGCUUUUACUUUUCCAAGCCGUUAGCCUUUUUUUUACAACAGCGCCCAGAGAACUUCUUAAAGGGACAGUUCACCUAAAAAUGAAAGGGAUUUAUUUAGCCUCAAGUUGUUCCAAACUUGUGUACGUUUCAUUGUUCUCCUGAGCACAAAGAAAGACAUUUCAAAGAUGUUUGACGGUGACAGAAUUUUCACUUUUGGCUGAGCUGUUCCUUACGGCAACAGGUUUUGCCUUCACACACAACUUACAUUUUCUUCUGAACAUCUCGCUUGCAAAAGAGAUAUUUUUGGACGCAUAGAGGGGCUCGACGCGGUCGACUUUAACUAGUGAUUUACAGUGUAUGGUAAAAGCCUUCAGGCUCACGGUUCUCGCAGGAACGGUUAGCUUCUCGUGUAGGUAGACACAAAGGAAGUAUAGAAGCGUAGCCUCAGGUCAAAUGGACCUCAGUAUUGCGAGACCUCACAGGAGCUCUGCUCUUGUUAAAAGUCUGAAGGAAGGCUUGGAGUGUGUGUGUGUGAUACGAACGGUGUGUGUCUGCGGGAGAUCUCAGAGGAUGCGUUUCAGUCUGAUGAGCUCUUCGUGCCUCCCCCGGGCCUCAUUAAAGACACUGCCCUGUGUGGAGUUUUGCUUCUCCAUCGGCGGGCGGCCCGAGAGACAAAACGCUGGUUUUCUCCUCCUUUCUCGUGUUGUCUCUCAGACGUCUUUGUUGCGGGUCUUUCAAGUAGAAGCACCUAUUUAUUUGCUCUUUUCACAGCCGAUUCUUGGCUUUCUGUGCUCACUGGCCCUCAUGUGGGGAUGAGCGGGGCCGCCGUGGCUCUCCCUGUGCUCAUCCCUGAGUCGAUGAGCCCAAACAAUGGAUCAAAUCUGCAACACAUCUUGAUGUACGUGUCCGUAUCAUAUUUGUCGUAAUGUAUGUGAUAAAAUGUUAAACUUGCAGCGUUCACGGAAGCAUUUGGCCUCCCCAAGAGCAAACGAUUCUUGGUUACUUGGUUUUUACUUUUCAACCCGUUCGUCUUUUGCACUUCUUUAGGGAACAGGCACACAAAGAGAGAGAGAGAGAGAGAGAGAGAGAGAGAGAGAGAAGCUUUUGUUUGCUGUUUUUAAGAGGACAGUGGCCAGACGGGCACAGAGAGCCGCGGUCAAACACAAGAGCCACGGGCAGAGGAUUCAAUGUCAUCUCUGAUUGGCCAAGGUUGAGCCGUGCCUCACCUUUCCUUGAUCCCCUCGGCUGUCACUGAUUGGACGAGGUGAGCCGAGCCUCACUCGUGUCUGAACCUCGUCUCGGAUGAGAUGUUGGUUCUGUGAUGUGAGGGUCUGGCAGACGCGGGGCAGGCAGGGUAAGAACGCUCGGUUUCGAGGGCUCUCAAACAUCACUCGGCGUGGAGAGAUCCUUCAUCACUCCGCCGGGAUGAGAGCACUACUGUGGAGAGUUUUGAAACCCGCCUCUCCUCGAGGAGGCAAUUCAGUCGUCCUCCCUGUGAUUAAACAAUAUGAAGUCUGGAAUGCAAAUUCUGAGAUCCUCAACCGCUGCCCUUUAUGAACUUCUCUGGGCCGGACGAGUUUAUUACACUCGAAUGGAGGAGACGAACCAGAGGAAAGCAGUUUCAAAGUGCAGUUCAUCAGCUGACCACAAGAGGUCGUGUUUAGACUGAAUAGUAUGUGCUUGAAACUUCUGGUUUGAGCUAAACAUCGUUUGAAGAGGCAAACGUUUUGGUUAGUACUUGACAUCUACAUGUUCAGCCAGCCUUAUGAAUAAAUCUUCUUUUAUAAUAAAUGUUAGAUUAUUAUGAGGAGCGACCGUCGUCCAGUCAAAAGGGAUGUUUUGGCAAACAAGCAAAAUUCCAUUUCUUUUAUGCAAAUCUGUUGUCAUGUUUUAUUGGUAGUAAGACGGAAUAAAAAACGAUAUGAUGUAUAUUACGUAAAAUGUUUGAUGUCCUGAUCAAUUGUCUUGCUUGAAUGCACUUUUAAUCUCAGCAUCCUACAUCUCUUCACACCUCUUGUGUCAUUCCUCAAACAGGGCCGUGAUCUUGUGACUGACCUUUAAGCGGUGGGCGAUCUUCGGAUAUUGAGCAACGGCAGUCUUAUGAAUCACGGCUGAAUCAGAGCUGAGCGCGGGGUGGCGUUUGAUUCCGGGGUUACUUUGACAGCUCGCCGGCUGGCAGAGGCCUCUUGGAUGACUGAAGAUCAGAGGAGACAGGCUGGAAAGCAGAAGUCCAGCCGAGAGAAGAUCAGAAGAGGCACAACUUCAACCAGAGAAUUUUGAAUGGCACACUUAAAGGUCCGCGGGGUUUUGUCCGGCUUUGACGAAACAAAUGGACGUGAAACGCCAGUGACGUUGUUUAAAUGGAGCCUACUGUCCAGAAAGAGG